rnacentral:hammerhead_ribozyme from 1 species
AUCUAUCUAAUGAGUCCGAAAUAGGACGAAAUGCUUGUCCUGGAU